rnacentral:rRNA from 1 species
UACGUAGGGUGCGAGCGUUAAUCGGAAUUACUGGGCGUAAAGCGUGCGCAGGCGGUUUUGUAAGCCAGGUGUGAAAUCCCCGGGCUCAACCUGGGAAUGGCAUUUGGGACUGCAAGGCUGGAGUGCGGCAGAGGAGACUGGAAUUCCUGGUGUAGCAGUGAAAUGCGUAGAUAUCAGGAGGAAUACCGAUGGCGAAGGCAGGUCUCUGGGCUGACACUGACGCUCAUGCACGAAAGCGUGGGGAGCAACAGG